UACAGAGGUCUCAAGCGUUGUUCGGAUUCAUUGGGCGUAAAGGGUGUGUAGGUGGCGCGCUAAGUCGGGGUGUGAAAUUUCGGAGCUUAACUCCGAAACUGCAUUCGAUACUGGCGUGCUUGAGGACUGGAGAGGAGACUGGAAUUCAUGGUGUAGCAGUGAAAUGCGUAGAGAUCAUGAGGAAGACCAGUGGCGAAGGCGGGUCUCUGGGACGGUACUGACGCUGAGACGCGAAAGCGUGGGGAGCGAACAGG
rnacentral:rRNA from 1 species